rnacentral:rRNA from 1 species
GUGGUGAAUAUUGGACAAUGGGCGCAAGCCUGAUCCAGCCAUGCCGCGUGAGUGAUGAAGGCCUUAGGGUUGUAAAGCUCUUUCAGUAGGGAAGAUAAUGACGGUACCUACAGAAGAAGCCCCGGCUAACUUCGUGCCAGCAGCCGCGGUAAUACGAAGGGGGCUAGCGUUGUUCGGAUUUACUGGGCGUAAAGCGCACGUAGGCGGAUUGGUCAGUUAGAGGUGAAAUCCCGAAGCUCAACUUCGGAACUGCCUUUAAUACUGCCAGUCUCGAGUCCGGAAGAGGUGAGUGGAACUCCUAGUGUAGAGGUGGAAUUCGUAGAUAUUAGGAAGAACACCAGUGGCGAAGGCGGCUCACUGGUCCGGUACUGACGCUGAGGUGCGAAAGCGUGGGGAGCAAACAGGAUUAGAUACCCGUGUAGUCC